UGGGGAAUAUUGGACAAUGGGCGCAAGCCUGAUCCAGCCAUACCGCGUGGGUGAAGAAGGCCUUCGGGUUGUAAAGCCCUUUUGUUGGGAAAGAAAUCCAGCUGGUUAAUACCCGGUUGGGAUGACGGUACCCAAAGAAUAAGCACCGGCUAACUUCGUGCCAGCAGCCGCGGUAAUACGAAGGGUGCAAGCGUUACUCGGAAUUACUGGGCGUAAAGCGUGCGUAGGUGGUUAUUUAAGUCCGUUGUGAAAGCCCUGGGCUCAACCUGGGAACUGCAGUGGAUACUGGAUGACUAGAAUGUGGUAGAGGGUAGCGGAAUUCCUGGUGUAGCAGUGAAAUGCGUAGAGAUCAGGAGGAACAUCCAUGGCGAAGGCAGCUACCUGGACCAACAUUGACACUGAGGCACGAAAGCGUGGGGAGCAAACA
rnacentral:rRNA from 1 species